GCCGGGUGUGGUGGUGCAUGCCUGUAAUCCCAGCUACUUGGGAGGCUGAGGCAGGAGAAUUGCUUGAAUCCAGGAGGCAGAGGUUGCAGUGAGCCGAGAUCGUGCCACUGUACUCCAGCCUGGGCAACAGAGUGAGACUCUGUCUCAA
rnacentral:SRP_RNA from 2 species